AUUUAUGAUGAAUGCAUUCAUAUAUAUAUAUAUUAAUUAUAUAAUGUAUUUCCAUUGCUUCUCUUAUUGACCUCCUAUUUAUAGGGUCCUGUCCUAGAUUUCAGGGAACGAUGAGGGAGAGAGAGGAGAAGGCAAAUAAAACAUAAUCCCUGCCCUUAAUAAAUGUAUAAUCCAGUUGGGAAGGGCCCAAUACAGAAAUAAUUGGAAUGCAAGAUUGAGUUUCAGAGAAUGGGAUGAGUAAUGUGGAGAAAAUGUUCACUGGAGGAAGAGCUCACUCCUGGCUGAGAAGAUCCUAGUCUUACUGACAACUCAAAGGAGCUUGCCAUAUUCCUUUGAUGUCCUUGGAAGUUCCAGUGUCUUCCAAGAAGUGAUGAAGACACUGAAAAGGGAAGAGGCAUGCCCAGGAUGAUGCAGCAAAUCAGUGGCAGAGUGGAUUUUUGAACUCAUGAUUCUUAAUCUACGUUCUCAUCUCUAUUCUGUUAUUUACUUACUGCUUUUUACCAAAUACCUAAAAAAAUAAUAAAAAAGAAAGAGUAACAAUCCUAUGGGUGAAA
rnacentral:lncRNA from 1 species